CACGCGGCUACGUGGAGCGGACGAGAACGAGGCAAUCAAUGAAUGCGAAUACCGGAGUCAUGAGGACAAAAGGGUAAACGCGUGAACAAGCGGCAAAAAGAGAGGAAAAGAAAGCACAGUGACGGAGGAGAAGAAAUACCGGUAGAAUUUGUAACCUAAGACGGUGGAAGCAUUGGCAAAAACCUCGACGUAACAGCGACAUGAAUGUGUAAACCGCAGCAAGAAAUGACUAUAAUCGAGACGAAGAUCAACAAUACGCGCUGUUUCGCGACCAUUUGCAGUGUUUGCGUAGCUUCGUGUGUGUCAUCGAUUCGAAUUGAGGGAAACGCGUGCGAAGAAAAGAACAGGAAUGAAAAGAGAAGAAA
rnacentral:misc_RNA from 1 species